CGAACAGACAACGAGAUCAAGAUAACCUGCAAGAAACAGCUCACUUGACAAGGUUGGCAUGGAAACCACUCACCAAAUGAAGAACCAAUAAUAUUAAUUUUUAUAGAUUCAUAAAAAAGGUAAGAAUCGAGAUAAAUUUUCAUCUCUAGUCUCUUGAUCAUCUGCAAGAAUAUCCUUAAUUUGGAGCUGUUGUUACUUCAGUGAAAUUGAGACUUUGGAGAGAGUAAGGAGCUAAGCUGCAGAUGUGGAGAUUGCUGACGAAUUAAGCUGCCGAUGGUGCUGAGUGAGUAGAUACAUUAACACUUACUGCUACUUUAAAUUCAUUUAAUCAAUUAGCGGCAUUUAGUUGAGUUUGGAAUUUAAAUGGUUUGAUUAUACUCACUGGUUACAGAAAUAAUGGUUGUGUAAGUAGGCCUUCAAGUUCAUCGCAAGCUUUAUGCUCAGAACUUUCUGGAAAUGAAAUUGAAGAGAUGAGGGACAUUGUUUUCCAUUCGAAACUUGUCAAGCAACCAGUUCUUGUUUGUACCUCAAUUUCGUAACCUGUUCGACCUCGAGUAGUUUGCAAUUGGAACUUGUUUGUCAUUAUCAUGGAUUGGUAUUUGUCCAAAAUUUAUUUGACAGGAGUGAAUAUAUGGAGUGGGAAUGAUGCAUCUGAGUGCAAAAGAUAACAACUAUAACUAUUUACAGUUACAAUCCGAUAUAGCAAAGGUAAAAGUUACAAAAACUGUCAUGAUAAGUUUACAAACUCUAGAAUUGAUCACUCGAGAUAAAUUUUCAUCUCUAGUCUCUUGAUCAUCUGCAAGAAUAUCCUUAAUUUGGAGCUGUUGUUACUUCAGUGAAAUUUGUAUUUCACUCUAAUUAAAGAGAUUACAAAAUACAUGAUAAAUUAAUUAAAGAGAUUACAAACUAAAAUACAUGAUAAAUACACAAAGUGCAAAAGAUAACAACUAUAACUAUUUACAGUUACAAUCCGAUAUAGCAAAGGUAAAAGUUACAAAAACUGUCAUGAUAAGUUUACAAACUCUAGAAUUGAUCAGCCGUGUGCCUUAGAGGGGAUCCAUAAUCAAUCCUAUUUUUUGAACAUUAUUAAAAAUAUCAUCCUAAUUAAUUCCUGGAACCUUUAUAUGGAAUUAAAUAUUGUAUUUGUAAUCAUGAAUUGGCACAACUCUAGUUUAAAAGACAUUCAUGCAUAGGUAAUCGCUCAAUGUGCCAAAUAGUCAAUGUUGACACACAUUCCUGAAAAAGGAGGGCGAACCUAGUGAUCUGUGUAUUUGUCACGUACAUUAUUCUCUCCUCCACCUUAUGGACUCCUGUAGUAGCUGUAUACUAGUAGAAGAUGCCAAUUAAAAAAAAAAAACAAAAAACUCAUAGAAAACUACUGUGAGAAACUAAAUCGCUGCUCGCUUUUCUUUUGAGAGACACAAUAGACGUUUGACUACAUAAGCAUUACAUGAUCCAAAAUUUAUUUGACAGGAGUGAAUAUAUGGAGUGGCCGUGUGCCUUAGAGGGGAUCCAUAAUCAAGAAAACAAAAAAAACUUGUAAGCGUUUUUAGAUUCUAUCAAUAUUAUCAUACCUUCAAUUAGCGGCAUUUAGUUGAGUUUGGAAUUUAAAUGGUUUGAUUAUACUCACUGGUUACAGAAAUAAUGGUUGUGUAAGUAGGCCUUCAAGUUCAUCGCAAGCUUUAUUGCUCAGAACUUUCUGGAAAUGAAAUUGAAGAGAUGAGGGACAUUGUUUUCCAUUCGAAACUUGUCAAGCAACCAGUUCUUGUUUGUACCUCAAUUUCGUAACCUGUUCGACCUCGAGUAGUUUGCAAUUGGAACUUGUUUGUCAUUAUCAUGGAUUGGUAUUUUCCUAUUUUUUGAACUAUUAAAAAUAUCAUCCUAAUUAAUUCCUGGAACCUUUAUAUGGAAUUAAAUAUUGUAUUUGUAAUUGAAUUGGCACAACUCUGUUUAAAAGACAUUCAUGCAUAGGUAAUCGCUCAAUGUGCCAAAUAGUCAGUUGACACACAUUCCUGAAAAGAGGGCGAACCUAGUGAUCUGUGUAUUUGUCACGUACAUUAUUCUCUCCUCCACCUUAUGGACUCCUGUAGUAGCUGUAUACUAGUAGAAGAUGCCAAUUAAAAAAAAAAAACAAAAAACUCAUAGAAAACUACCGAAGAAAACAUCGUAACACAUUUUGAUAGUACUAUAAGAAAACUGUGAGAAACUAAAUCGCUGCUCGCUUUUCUUUUGAGAGACACAAUAGACGUUUGACUACAUAAAUGCAUUACAUGAGUCCAAAAUUUAUUUGACAGGAGUGAAUAUAUGGAGUGGCCGUGUGCCUUAGAGGGGAUCCAUAAUCAAGAAAACAAAAAAAACUUGUAAGCGUUUUUAGAUUCUAUCAAUAUUAUCAUACCUAGGAUUUCUGGAUCUCUUCAGAACAGGUAAAAAUUGUUAAGGAUUUCUGGAUCUCUUCAGAACAGGUAAAAAUUGUUAGUUCAAGGUCGAACAGACAACGAGAUCAAGAUAACCUGCAAGAAACAGCUCACUUGACAAGGUUGGCAUGGAAACCACUCACCAAAUGAAGAACCAAUAAUAUUAAUUUUUAUAGAUUCAUAAAAAAGGUAAGUUUCACUCUAAUUAAAGAGAUUACAAAAUACAUGAUAAAUUAAUUAAAGAGAUUACAAACUAAUACAUGAUAAAUACACAAUGAGACUUUGGAGAGAGUAAGGAGCUAAGCUGCAGAUGUGGAGAUUGCUGACGAAUUAAGCUGCCGAUGGUGCUGAGUGAGUAGAUACAUUAACACUUACUGCUACUUUAAAUUCAUUUAAGUUCAAGGUC
rnacentral:lncRNA from 1 species